GUUGCAAAAGCAUCGGUACGGAGGUAGCCAUGUUUGAAGAGAUCAAUUCAACGUAGUUCCAACUUCCAACUUUAACUUCAAUCAGGAUUCAGGACCACCAUUCUGAUUUUCUGAGUUUCUCAUCUCGACCCGUCGCUCACCGCCGUUCUCACCGCAUUGCCUCAGUCCAUGUUAACCCCGCCGCUAAAUGCUCACCAUUUUUCUGGGCAUCUCUAUUCCUUUAUCAGGGCUUGGCCUUCACAAAAACUAGUCCAAUUCUCCACCAGAACAGUGUAUUUGAUCCAAAGUGAGAUUGUACAUGCCCACAUCACCAGGACUUGUUUCAAACCCUUGUCUACUUUUUUCCAAUGAAUCCUCUUCGAUUGGGUUGCCAAUAUGGCGAACUCGGUGUUGCCCGCCACAUGUUGGAUGAAAUGCCUAGACUGAAGCAAUGAGUUUGGGGAGGAAUACUUAUGCUGUUUUCUUUUAGAUGCAAAAGAAAGGAAUGGAGCUCUUGAAGUUCAUAUUCUCAAGUACAUUCAAAGCUUGUAAGGCAGGUGAAGCUUUUGACCAUGGUCCAUAAAGAUACUGUCACUGAGAAACAUGUUACAGAGAGACUGAUUGAGCUUGAACCUGAAGCUGCAGUCUCUUAUGUGCUUCUUGACAACAGCUACACUGAUGUGGAAAAAUGCAUGCCAGCCAAAAGAAUCAAGGACUUGCUGAAAGAUGGUAGAAUUGCAAUGAAACCUGGUCUAAGUUGGAUUGAGGUAGGAACACAUUGGCCUUUCUUUUGUGGUGGGUGAUAAAUGUCAUCAUUGAAGUCAAACUAUUUAUGCACGGUUGGAAGAAAUAUGAAAUAAGUAGUAUUUGCUAACGAGGGGCUUGUUUUUAGAGUCCCUAAACCUGAACAGAACAAUAGCUUUGUGGUGGCUACCAUAACUAAAAGUUAGCCAUGAUCCAUUAGUUUGCCAACAUCAGCUUCUAUGAAAGUGUUGAUGAAGUUGGAAGCCUGCUGAGAUUGCCAUACAAAAAUGAGGCUCUUCUCAGUGCUGAAAAAGAGAGAAUUCUCAUAGGUCCAAUAAGUUUCCAUUCUGUCAUAGAAGGUUCUUGUUCUUGUAGAGACCAUUCACAGGGGAAGUAAGAUUGACUAUUUAGAAGAUUGUUGCUCUCUUGAACUGA